rnacentral:rRNA from 1 species
UAUGUGAUCGUCUCUCGCAUAUCAAUAAGCGGAGGAAAAGAAACUAACAAGGAUUCCCCUAGUAACGGCGAGUGAAGCGGGAAGAGCUCAAAUUUGAAAUCUUAAAGGGUUUCCCUUUACGAAUUGUAGUUUAAAGAAGUGUUUUCUGUUGAGGUUUUGGUAAAAGUUCUUUGGAAUAGGACAUCAUAGAGGGUGAGAAUCCCGUAUUUGACCUUUACUUUCAACUUUGUGAUACACUUUCAAAGAGUCGGAUUGUUUGGGAAUGCAGUCCAAAAUGGGUGGUAAAUUUCAUCUAAAGCUAAAUAUUGGCGAGAGACCGAUAGCGAACAAGUACCGUGAGGGAAAGAUGAAAAGAACUUCGAAAAGAGAGUUAAACAGUACGUGAAAUUGUCAAAAGGGAAGCGUUUGACACCAGUGUUGUUUUUCUGAAAAUCAAUUAAAGAACUGUUUAUGCUAAGUUGUUUAGACUUUAUCAGCUAACUGUUUAGUUUUGAGCUUUUCUUUAAUGCACUUUUCAGUUAACAAGUCAACAUCAAUUUCUUUUGCUGUAAAAAAGCUUGAGGAAGGUGGCUUGAGAUUCGUCUUAAGUGUUUAUAGCCUCUUGCCUAUGCAGUCGGAGAGAUUGAGGUCUGCAGCGUAGAUCCUUCGGGGCUAAAUGCAUUUGUGCUAAGUUAUAGCAUUUUAUAGACAACUUGUUGACUAUGAUUUGUCUUGUAGCUUACUCGCUUAUGUUAUUUUACCUACGCUUAGGAUGUUGACACACGCGCGUGCUCG